rnacentral:rRNA from 1 species
GAUGAACGCUAGCGACAGGCUUAACACAUGCAAGUCGAGGGGCAACGGGGGGUGAGCAAUCAUCUGCCGGCGACCGGCGCACGGGUGAGUAACACGUAUGCAACCUGCCCGUCACAGGGGGAUAAUCGAGAGAAAUCUCGUCUAAUACCGCAUACACUCUUCGGGAGCAUCUUCGGGAGAUGAAAGAUUAAUUGGUGACGGAUGGGCAGUGCGGGACAUUAGCUAGGUUGGCGGGGUAACCGCCCACCGAAGGCGACGAUGUCGUAGGGGUUCU